UCACCAUGGCGCCGCCGCUCCAGGCUGCCCCUCGACGAGCCGAGGGCACCAGAAGAUCCGCGUCGUCGUCCUCUCCAUCUCUGUGCGAGGAAUCAAGAUGGGGCUCAGUAAUUCGUGCGCAGUGUCGACGAUUCUCCACGCUGGCCGUCAUGCUUCUUCUUCAAUUCUGGCCGCUCUCGUCCUCCUCUGGCCAAACCAAGCCCACCUCCGCACUCCUGAUGCCGCCGUCGGCGAUACUCCGGCGAGCUUCCGGCGCCAACACCACCACGUCCUGGUUCCUUGCGACACGGCGCAGCCCCGACGGCGUCUCGCCCGUCCCAGUUAGGCCGCUCCUGUCGUUCCCGUGGUCGACAUGGUCUUGGCUGCCAUGGACGUUCCUGAUCAAGAUCCCCGUCCUGGAUGGUUUCAAAACCAAGCGUGUCCUCUCCUUGCCAUGAUCCAAGCCAACAGCUCGGUGGUAACAUCCCUACUCCAUCGUCUGUGAGAUCCCAAGAUCAAAUCCUAUGCCUGCGAAUUGAAGCAUCCUUUUUGUUCUGUGUUCGUUUCCAGAUGGGCCUGUCGCAGAUCUCCCCUGUGCAGCCCAUUGCCCGCGCGUCCAGCAACAUCCCGCCGUCUACGCGGUUCCGGCCCAGAAAUAUCGCAGCAUUUGCUUCUUCCCGGAUAGGAUCGCGAAGUGGUGAUGUGAGAUACGACAGGAUCCCCGGAUGUCCCUCGGCAAGCUUUAACAGGCAAGCAUUUCCCCUAUACUCCUGCCCCUGCAGAAGUCGCUCACCUAUUUUAUUUUGCCUUCUCCCUCAUGCUAUCCUUAAGUUGCGUUCUUGUCACGUGUCCUUUCCACUUGUUACCUCAAGCAGCCCAUAUUGCCACCACCAACCACCAACCUCCUACAGCUAUUGUUUUGGUUAUCGAGUCUGCCUUGCGAGUCGUAGCGCAUGCUAGUGUUGUUUAUAUCUUGUUACCAUUAUGUUUAUCUCAUCGGGUUAUAUGUUGGGGAAUCAUGACACAUGCUACAUGUUUAUAUCUGUUGAGGGAAUCAUGGUUACUUGUUAAUAGUUGUUAAGCGGAGACAUCGGUGGGUCAGUUGCUCGUUUUAUGGCGGCUCACUUGUGUUUCUUUAAAGCUUAGGAUCCGAGUUCUUGUUAUCUGUUCCGAGACUGAGCGCUCUAACCACACGUGGGUAUGUUUCUGGGUCUCCCCUCGACCACUGCCGGAAACUACAGCUUUGUCCAGCGACCACAACUAGUUUGCAAUGUUUUACCAUUUGUUGUUUGCGUGCAUGCCAGCCUGUUACUUCUUUACUUUGGGAAGCCCCUGGGUGCCUUGUAUCCCUUGUUUCUGGUAUGCACGUAUAGGUCGUGGAGCCUCUGCGAAGUGGUUUAUCGCCCCAGUGUGUGUUUAAACCACCUAGCACGUUGACACACAUAGCUAAGUCCGCUUCGGAGAUACGGUCGGACUUCGAUACGGGUUCAACUUAGUUAGGUGGCUUCCUGGACAUUGUUGUCGUGAAGGAGAGUGCGAGUCGUGAAAUCCACCUGUCGCAAGUGGGUUGAUCGUGCGUGUGGGUACAUUUGGGCAACCCCUGCAGGGUGUAAAAUCUUAUCGAUAAGCCACGUCCGCGGUUAUGGACGACUUGGAGCUGUAUGACUCGAUCAUAGACAACUUACACCUGCUGUUUCAAUCAUAAUAACUUGCAUAGUAAGUUAGCACAACUCUAAUAAUAAAUGGUUAAAACUUGACAACCGUGUGAGUGCCUUUGUAAGUACUUCUUGGCGAAGGGGGAACACCUCGGCUGUGUUAUGUUUGCAGAGUAUAGAACUGUUAUUUACGCUCUCUCACCUUCUCUGAUAGACGACUGUUGUAGAGUGUCUCUAUAGGUUUUUAGUGCUUGCGCGCUGCCGCUUAACCCCACCAUAUUGCCUAUGACGUUCCUCUUGCGUCCUGUAAGUCCCCUGCGUGCCUCAAGUACAAAGGACGACUGGUUGACGAAUGCUUAUACAUCUUGAAGUCUUGUUAAGCACGAACCCGUACUUAUUGCUGCUUCUACGGGAUAUAACCGGGCAGGUAUGAAGACCGGUACGAUGAAGGCGACGUUAGCAAGGUUACCCUUCCGGCUUGGCCUGGGUAGGGUUAUGGACGCCACUGGUUAUCUUCAGGACUCUUAGUCCAAAUUUGUAUCUUAUCCGUACUCGGAUGUAUUUGAUCUUCUGUAUGAUUUGGAUCUUUGUAUGUAUCUAUUUGUAUCUUGACUCGUUGGAGUCGUUGUUGUAAUAUAUCUGUAUCUUGUGGGCUCUAUUGUAAUCCUGUUGUAAUGUUA